rnacentral:rRNA from 1 species
UACGGGGGGGGCAAGCGUUGUUCGGAAUUACUGGGCGUAAAGGGUUUGUAGGUGGCUUGCUAAGUCGGACGUGAAAUCCCUCAGCUUAACUGGGGAACUGCGUCUGAGACUGGCAAGCUUGAGUGCAGGAGAGGAAAGCGGAAUUCCAGGUGUAGCGGUGAAAUGCGUAGAUAUCUGGAGGAACACCGGUGGCGAAGGCGGCGUUCUGGACUGUAACUGACACUGAGGAACGAAAGCCAGGGGAGCAAACGGG